AACUAGGUUACCUGUUUGUUUGGUGGGGGAAGGCAUAGGCUCUGCUUUUGACUUUAUGCCUCUUUUAUUUCACAUUUUUUACAAGACGCAUGCAUUUCUUUUUCAUUUAAAACGCAUUAAUGAUUUAUUUUCACCAACCAGGAACUACUUUUAGUCCCUCCAAAACCAAUGAUUAGCCAGUUCUAAAGUCAUUUCUUAGGUCACGUCGCCCAGAAAAUCUCUACACCCACCGUACGCCUUCGCCACUCAUACUCAGUGCUUCAUUCUAUCCUCCACAUCACCGCCUGGGCCAUUCCCUCUUUGACCAGAAAGCCCCUAAAGCUCCAAACUGGUGUUCUCUUACCCCUGGGGUUUAUGGAGACCAGUUUUAAGGGAAUUCAUUUCCACAUCUUCCAUUGCUAUAUAUUCUAUUUUCUAAACUUGCCCAGCUUGAGAAAGGAGCUGAGGACACAGCAUCCCCUUUCAAAACUGUCCUCCCACCUUACAGAAGAAAGUCAAAAUUC
rnacentral:lncRNA from 10 species